rnacentral:rRNA from 1 species
UCCACGGUUUGUGCGACGCAGCUAACGCAUUAAGCGCCCCGCCUGGGGAGUACGAUCGCAAGAUUAAAACUCAAAGGAAUUGACGGGGCCCCGCACAAGCAGCGGAGCAUGCGGCUUAAUUCGACGCAACGCGAAGAACCUUACCAAGGCUUGACAUAUACAGGAAUACGGCAGAGAUGUCGUAGCCGCAAGGUCUGUAUACAGGUGGUGCAUGGUUGUCGUCAGCUCGUGUCGUGAGAUGUUGGGUUAAGUCCCGCAACGAGCGCAACCCUCGUUCUGUGUUGCCAGCAUUUAGUUGGGGACUCACAGGAGACUGCCGGGGUUAACUCGGAGGAAGGUGGGGAUGACGUCAAAUCAUCAUGCCCCUUAUGUCUUGGGCUGCACGCAUGCUACAAUGGCUGGUACAAACGGCUGCAAUACCGCAAGGUGGAGCGAAUCCGAGAAAGCCAGUCUCAGUUCGGAUUGGGGUCUGCAACUCGACCCCAUGAAGUCGGAGUUGCUAGUAAUCGUAGAUCAGCAACGCUACGGUGAAUACGUUCCCGGGGCUUGUACACACCGCCCGUCACAUCACGAAAGUCGGUAAC